GGCUCGAUGAUUACAGCCCUUCCUGGGCAAUAUACGCUAUUCUGAUAAUUACUUUCACAGGCUGAAACUCUUCCGAGAAUGAGAGCU